rnacentral:snRNA from 1 species
GGAUGUGAGGGCGAUCUGGCUGCGACAUCUGUCACCCCAUUGAUCGCCAGGGUUGAUUCGGCUGAUCUGGCUGGCUAGGCGGGUGUCCCCUUCCUCCCUCACCGCUCCAUGUGCGUCCCUCCCGAAGCUGCGCGCUCGGUCGAAGAGGACGGCCUUCCCCGAAUAGAGACGGACCGGUCUUCGGUCGAGGGUAUACGAGUAGCUGCGCUCCCCUGCUAGAACCUCCAAACAAGCUCUCAAGGUCCAAAUUCACAUCAAGUUGGAGAAUGACUCCUAUAUUCUGCUCACCAUCCUACUGGGAACCACUAAGUA